GGCGCUAUAGCUAAGUGGUAAGACAAAGCUUUGCAAAAGCUUCACUCCCCAGUCAAAUCUGGUGGCAUCU
rnacentral:tRNA from 1 species